GCUACACCUCUCACCUCAAAAGUUCUUUGAUAAGAUAAAUUUGUACAAGAUCCCAUUUAAAAGUGGAAUCGUGCACAGCACAGGACGUCGACAUGAUAACAGCGAGUUUGGUCAGGCUUUCGAUUCUCUUGUUAUGUUCUUCAACAGCCUCAUCUCUACAAUGUCUUAGCUGCCAGAAUGUACCUGACAAACGAGAUUGUCACAGUCUCAUGUUAUGUGGAGCACACCAGGAAUGCUACACUAACCGUGUUAUUGAUGGUAGUAGAAGAAAUCUCUACAAUUUAGGAUGUGUAGAUCAAUAUGCAUGUAGUUAACUUUCCCAAAAUGGACUGGGAAAGAGGGAAAUACGUUCAACAUAUCCUGAUUUCACAUUCUCAAAUUUUGAUCACAAACGCAGUGUUAUAACUACUUGUUUCCAAUGCUGCAAUAACUCGGAGGAAUGUAACUUAAACACCUGUGGAAUAGCUCUUAGUCCAUGUGCAACAAAUCCCUGCGUUCACGGCGCAUGCUCAGAUGAAGACAAUAAUGAUUUCCGGUGCACAUGUCACACUGGAUAUAUUGGUCGACUUUGUGACUUUCCAAUAUCACCUUGUGUGAGCAAUCCAUG
rnacentral:lncRNA from 1 species